AUUUCGACCUGAACUCAAGCGUGAGCACCCGCUGAACUUAAGCAUAUCAUUUAGCGGAGGA
rnacentral:rRNA from 1 species